rnacentral:rRNA from 1 species
UACAGAGGUGGCAAGCGUUGUUCGGAAUUACUGGGCGUAAAGGGCGCGUAGGCGGCCUUCUAAGUCAGACGUGAAAUCCCCCGGCUUAACCUGGGAACUGCGUCUGAUACUGGAAGGCUUGAGUGCGGGAGAGGGAUGUGGAAUUCCAGGUGUAGCGGUGAAAUGCGUAGAUAUCUGGAGGAACACCGAUGGCGAAGGCAGCCUUCUGGGCCACAACUGACGCUGAGGUACGAAAGCGUGGGUAGCAAACAGG